GGGGACAUAGCUCAGUGGUAGACUAUAUGCUUUGCAUGUAUGAGGUCUUGGGUUCAAACCCCGCUGUCUCCA
rnacentral:tRNA from 1 species